UACAUUUCUCCAAAUCUGAUGAAGACACAAACUCAUCCUAAUCUCUGAUGGCCUGAGCACAUUUUCAGCAAAUUUUCAUUUUUGGGUGAACUAUCCCUU